rnacentral:lncRNA from 1 species
CAUCCAGGGCAUCGCAUUAUACUCUGUCAUCAAGGAUGCUGCUGCAAGCCCUCAUCCAUCAGGGUGCUUCCUUGACUUUCUGUUUAAAAGAGAAAAUAUUAAUAUGUUGCAUUUCUUUAGAUGGCUUUAUGUAUGUGCAGUCGACUUUUUGAGCCAAUGCUUAAAGCCCUCACCUGGCCUGCCUUGUAACAAACUGUUAUGUCCAUGGGAGCUCUGGAUGAGCCUUGGGAUGCUGCCUGAGGCUGCAGGACAUUGUUUUGCUGUUUUGUGUUUUUUGUGUGAAGGUCAACUCCACCCACAGAUGAAUAGGCUUGAUGUGAGUUGUGAGUUGCUGCCUCCCUGUCUCAGCCUCAACAUUCUGUUCUGAGGUUGAGGUCAGAAAUCUUCACAAAUCUGCAUGAUGACCAGUGGCUGCACAGAGUCUGUAUCCCAACCAGAGGGCUCCAGGGGCUGUCUCUGUGAAGCUUAUUUUAAAUCUCCAAAUUAGCUAUACUAGACCAUCAGUAAAUUACAUGCCCAACUGCAAGAACCGUGCAUAAGCAAUGAUGCUUAAUGACUUAAUGUGAUGUUUUUAAUAGUCAAAAUCUUUCAAUUAUUUUUAUUGCUAUGAUGUUCCCACUCUAACAAAUUGUUUUUACUUUACUUGUGCUCUAUUUUAACAUGAACGAUUCCUGGAGGAGGUAAGUAUUUACUAAGCUUAUAUCUUUGGCCACUCAGGUACAAUGAGAAAAUACCAAGAGGUUAAAUUUUUUUAAAAACUCACUUUCUUUGCAACCAUAGAAAUUUUACAUUACAAUAUACCAUUGAAACAAGUUAGAUGGAUACAUAUAGCACAAUGUAAAUAUUUUAAUAAUAGGAUCCGAUUUUAAUAAAGGGAAUGAAGAAUGACAUAAAAUGUGUUCUGAAAACUUACAUAUUUUACUUGUUAUAUAUGACCAUACCUCACCUAUCCCUAGGUAAGUUAUCCAGAAACUUCAAGUGUAUUGGAGUUGCUGAAAAUCAACAAUACUUUAAAAAGGUCCAAUGACAGGGAAAGCUGAUUGUUCAUGUACUGGCACUAUGACCCUCCCACAUUUAACUGUAGGAGGAACAUCACACUGUCACGGUAUCCUGUCACUUCUUUCAGGUAUAAUUCUGACCAGCAUCUUCCUCUAUUUUCCCAAGCCGUACAUGAUAAGAAGAGCAAGUGAACAGGGGCAGAGAUAAAGAAAUGCUAGAAGUAAACACUCUGCUCCCAGUCCGAACACAGACAAUGAACAGAGAGAAAACUCUUAGAAGAGUGAACUUUAUGAACCCAGUCACCCGGGGAGGUCCUGAAUGGCUCUAGAAAGGUGCUGUGAGGCACAAAAGUCGUUCUUAAUGGUAUUUCUGAAACCUCUUUUUCAUUGCCUUUUUUUUUCUUUCUUUUUCAUUCUCUGUGUCUUUUUGCUUUGGGCCUGAUGUAUAAACAACCAGAAUAAUGGGGGAACAAUGUCAUAUACCAAGAAAUGUAGCCCAGAGAAAAAUGUGUUCAAAACAUCAUGCAGAGGAAGAACACAGCAAUGACUGGGGUCUGAUAACAGUGCCCAGGGGUCGGGGUGGAGGCAGACCUGCCCCAAAGGACAUAGAUGAACGUUCUUGGAAGCUUUUACUGUCUGUCAGACUGGACAGAGUUUACCAAAGAACAUAGUUAAGUAACAUCUUUGGGAGAAACCCAAAUGCUCUGUCCAUGAAGCCUCUUACCCCACUGUGUGGAUGUGUCUUAAAGUGGACAGGGGGCCCGGGGCUCAUCUGUCAGGGACUCUAGGUGUCCAUGGAGUGUGCAGUGUGGUCUCUGCUGGUGCAAAACAAGAGCUCCUGUACCUGACUGAGGAACAACCCUGAAGGAGUAAAGUGUGAUUACCCUUGUCUAGAAUGGGGCUGGGGUCAAGGCUGGGAGAACCAUGUGAGGAAAGUUGACUUAGUGGAGUUGAAACCAGAAGACUCUAUGUGUUGACCCUAACUGCAGGUCAGCAUAAACUUCCUAAGUCUCUGUUUCAUUAUUGGUAAAAUAAAAGUACUAAAAGCUAUCCUUCAGGUAAGGUUUCCUCUGAGGAUGGAAAGUGAUGAUUUAUGUGGUCGUAUUAAAAAAAAAAAAAGACAUCCAUUAAGAACGAUUAUAAAACUAAGCCCCAGGCAAUGUAAAUCUGAAUGUUUUGACAUAAUCACUCUGCUCAUCAUAAUUAGGUAAGCUAACUGGUAAGCAGUUAUACAAACGGCUGAACUGGAGACAGUUAAGAGACAGCUAAGCCAUGUUAAGAUGAGCUAGGAAGAGAAAAGGGGUAUGUGUCUCACUGGAGUUUGCUUCAAGGUUCUCUGAAGAACAGAGGUCAGGAGUGGGUGGGAUGUGCGUGGAUUUCUCCCUCCUCUGACCACAGGUCUCCAGUGACUGGGGUUCUGAGAGCCUGAGAAAGUCUGGAGGCAAAGGCUUGGCUCUGGGAUUCAGGCACACUUUAGUACAAGGACCAGCUGUAGCACUUACCAUCUGUGUGACCUCGGAUUGCCCUUAAUUUCCCCACUUACAAAGCUGUGAUAAAGACUCCCCAUGGAACUGGUUGUAGAAUGAAAAGCAAAUCAAAUCAAAUGUGGUGAUUCGAGCAUAUAUUUUUCUGCCCGCUGCGUGGAGCCAAGGUAGACACUGAGGUCCCAGGUCAGGUGUGGUUGUGGGCAGAGCAGCCUCUAGAGGGCGUGCACACUGGAGGAGGGGAGCCGCACAGGGCAGCCAUAAACUCCUUCUGUCUACACAGAAAGGAGAACCUCCUAGAGAUGGGAGCCUUUCCCUUCCUCUUUGGGAAGUAUGAAAAAUAAGCAGAAGUAUCUUUGCCCUUUGCCCUUACAUUCCACCAAUUAAAGAAUCACUUGAGUUUAUAAAUACUUCCUCACACCACUCCUCCUCUACCUAAGAGCACAGUAAGAGAUACCAGGGUUGUUCACUCUCACGUCAAUCAGUUCAAACAGCUUAUUUUUAAUGGUUCCUUAAAGGGAUAGACAAUUUAGUAAAAAUGGUAAAGUGGGGGGUGGGGCUAUGAACAGUACUUUGGGGUCUAGGCCAUUGAGGGGAGUGGAGUAUGAGUGAGGAACUGUCACAGCCAAGAGUGAAGGGGACACUGAAGGGAAGGGAAGUUAGUAGGGUGGAGGAAGCAAGGAGGGUCAACUGUCAGAGUCAAAAAAAAAAAAAGUCAAGUUCUGUUUUAUAAACUGAAAAUAAUCAGAUAGUAGAGAUAGAAGUGCGGAAGAUUUUCUCUUCUGGGGGCUUUACAAACAAAUGCCUUCAGGGGUCAUGCAGAGACUAUCAAUCAGGAAAGUGGGAUGGAUAUGAUAUAACAGAUACCAGAGGGGACAGUGGAGAGGUUAAGCAUCUGUGACUUUCCUAAAGGCAAUGUAAUUGUCUAUAGUCAUACUGCCCUUAACGUGUCUGAUACCUUCUAAAGAAAAUGUAAUUAAUUAAUUAAUAAUAAUACUGUGCUGGACAAAAGGACUUGAUUGUGGGAGGACUUCAUCCAGUCCCUUCAAUGUUAUAAAUAGAACUGCUAAGCAUUAAAAUAUAUAAGGAAAUAUUUUAUGAUGUGACCUUAUACAAAAAUAGCUCAAUCAGACCCUUUCCUCCAAGGACUUUAAAGUUGGGCCAAAUUUGAAUAUCCCACAAGAAAAGGGUUAGUUCCUGCCACUCUAGGAAAUCUUUAAAUUCUGGAGAACCCCAGGAGCUUCCCAGUUCCCCCUUCAGGUAAGAAUACUUUCAUCCUCCAAGACAACACAGGAGCAAACUGUGAGUACACCUAUAGAUUUCUCAAGGGAAAAUUAAAAUAUUUUAGGGCAAUUCUAGAUUCUCUGAGUCAUAAAUGGGCACUGAAAGAGGAUAGUUCACAAGCUGAUCCCAUUAAAACUCUAUCAAACCCUCCCCUGGAAAGCCUAAGUCACAGAAGAAGGAACAGACAGUGAGGAGCAUAAGGAUAAGCUUAAAAAGCAGCUAUGAAAAUGAAAGAUACAGAACACAAGCAGGUGAA